rfam:Oryza brachyantha chromosome 9, whole genome shotgun sequence.
AAUAAGAUAAUUUUUCGUUUUUCUGUGUUCAACAUUUGACCAUUCGUCUUAUUUGAAAAGAUUUUGCGAUUAAUAUUUUUGUUCUCGAUAAAACAUGAAUAGUACUUUAUGCAUGACUAAUUUUUAAAAAUUUUUAUAUAAAUUUUUCAAAUAAGACGAAUAGUCAAAUGUUGGAUACGAAAAAACGAAAAAUGAUCUUAUU